rnacentral:rRNA from 1 species
UCCUACGGGCGGCUGCAAUUAGGAAUCUUGCGCAAUGGGCGAAAGCCUGACGCAGCGACGCCGCGUGACUGAUGAAGUCUUUCGGGAUGUAAAGGUCUUUUGUGGGGGACGAAGGAAGUGACGGUACCCCACGAAUAAGCCCCGGCUAACUACGUGCCAGCAGCCGCGGUAAUACGUAGGGGGCGAGCGUUGUCCGAAUUCACUGGGCGUAAAGCGCGCGUAGGCGGACAUUUAAGUUGUGGGUGAAAUGCCGAGGCUCAACCUCGGAACUGCCUGCAAAACUGGGUGUCUUGAGGUAUGGAGAGGGAAGUGGAAUUCCAGGUGUAGCGGUGAAAUGCGUAGAUAUCUGGAGGAACACCCGUGGCGAAGGCGGCUUCCUGGCCAUAUCCUGACGCUGAGGUGCGAAAGCCAGGGGAGCGAACGGGAUUAGAUACCCCAGUAGUCCU